rnacentral:tRNA from 1 species
AGCUCAGUCAGUUGAGCGUGGCACCAAUAAAGCCAAAGUCACGGGUUCGAUUCCCGU